GGGGAUAUAGCUCAGCUGGGAGAGCGCCUGCCUUGCACCGCAGGAGGUCAGCGGUUCGAUCCCGCUUAUCUCACC
rnacentral:tRNA from 1 species